GGAGAAGCGGCACUAGGAGCUGCCCACAGCCAGUAGAGCCUUGCAGGAGGCCCCGCUACCCCGAGAACAUCAGACUGGUUGGGACCAGAUGAAACAAGCACCUCAGAGGCGGGGGGCUCGGACCAGGCUUCCACAUGGCAGCAUGAGAGGGACUGUGGCUUAGGCUGAAAGUGGUGCAGGCACUGCAAGGAGGCCGGAUGGGAAGCAGCGACAGGCACUGCCUGAGAAAGAGGAGCGGGUGGCCGGGUUGUGAGGUGGCAGGAGGGGCAAAGGCAGCUUUGAACACAAGUGGACAAGAAGAAAAGUUGAGGAAUGUCAAGCCAAGGGGGAGAAAGAAGAGAAGUCACUGAAGAUGGAGGCAAAGGAAAGGGACUCUGGGCACAGUAACCUGCCUGUAAUCAGGCCUCCGGUUAUCUAAUUACACUGCAUGGGGAUCUUGAGCAUUUUAAUCCCUUGAACAGCGUGACCCCCCUGUAAGCAGAGUCCAGGUCUUAUGCCUUUUCCCUUUCCUUUUGGAGGAGAGGAACAUGGGUCAAGUUUAACAUUGUGGGUCAAGUGACCUAUUGCAAUCAGCUCUCUUUCUGUUCUGGGAACUCCCCCUUUGUUUUGUAUGUAUGUGUAGGUGAAUGAAUGUGAUACGAAUGGGUGUGAACAUAUAUAUUUAUAUAUUUAUUUCUUUAUUUUCAGUUCUUUCAGUUAAAUCACUGCAGUGUUUUUUAUUUAUUCUCAGAAUUGGAAAAAGAGCUCAAUGUGUAUUAUUAUAUUUAUCCUCCUCCUCCCCACAAAAGGAAAGAGUAAAAGCUCAGAUAGCAUGUUUUACUGCACAGGAUAAUCGCUCUCCAUUUCUGAUUUCUUUAGGUUCAGUUCCUAUUAGUGGGCUGAUGGCAAAGAUUGACCUUUAAUAAGGGUGAUUUAGGUCAAAGGAAAUACAGGAUCUCCUAGUACCAGGGCAACUUCACCACUAUCUAUCGAGGGUUUUGGUCUCUCCCCUUCAUUAUUUUGACACCAUGCCACAUCAGCAGGUUAAUAGGAGUCAUGAUUUUCUAAUUACGGGAGAGACUAAAUCUAUCUGUCUUCUGGGAGAUAUCGAUCUCUGUGGAAACCUAAGAAGACUGACCGCCCUGUAAGCUGGGUCUCAGUCUGUGCCAUUGUGUCCUUGGACAUUCUGUUCUGUUAUCUGGCUAGUGUGAAUGACUGCCUGUAAUCAGGGUGCCAGUCACCUCCCCCUAAAUGUGGAGGGCCACUGAGCUCUUUUUUUAAUUGAAUAAUGUGACCGCCUGUAACUCGGGUCCGGGUCUCUGCCCUCUUGCUCAUUUGGCUUUACGCCGUCCUCUGCCCCAUUAGUCAGCGUGACAACCCUGUACAUAGGAUCCAUGUCACAAGGCUCUCCUGAAUGGGACAUAUCGAGCUCUUUGGUACUUUCACAGCUGGACCUUCCUGUAAUUCAGGUUAUGGUCUCUCCUCUUUGGCUAAUGCCAGUGACCACCCUGUAAUGAGGGGACAGGUUGCAUCUCGCUUUUGAAAUCUGGGGGAUUAGAAUCAUUUCCGUAACAUGGGCAGCUUGACCUCCCUGUAACUAGGGUUUGCGUCUCUGAGGCCCUUUGACUCUCUUGGCCUCGUGCUGUCUUUACAGCCUGCUGCGAAGGACCGCCCUGUCAUCAGGGAUCGGGUCUUUGCUCUCUAGUCUCUUGGCACUAGGCCAAAUGCAGCCACUGCCCUGAAUGAGCGCUCUGUAAACAGGGUACAGGUCUCAUCAGCUACUAUUUAUGGUGCCUCCAUAAAACUGUGUCCAGAGUUCCGGCCCUUCAAGCAGCGCUUCCAACUUGCCUGGAAUUCUGCAGCCAAGUCUCCCGCAUUUUACUCCCUUCUUGGACUCUUGGAGACCUGACAUGCUAUUGGUGGCACCAUGAAGCACAAGUGGAGAAGAAAGAAGUGUCAGGAAUGCCAUACACAGAGAAGAAAAGAAGAUGGAGGAAAAGGAAAGGAACUCUGGGCACAGUACUCUCCCUCAGAUCAGCCUCAGGUCAUGUAAUUAGACUGUAUGGAAAUCUCGAGCCUUUUAAUACCUGUAGCAGCGUGACCGCCCUGUAAGCUGGGUCCCGGUCUGUGCCAUUGUGUAUUUGGACAUUCUGCUCCGUGAUCUGGCUAGUGUGAGUGACUGCCCUGUAAUCAGGGUGCCAGUCACCUCCCCCUAAAUGUGGACAGGCAUUGAGCUCUUUCUUUAAUUAAGCAAUGUGACCGCCCUGUAACUAGGGUCCGAGUCUCUGCCCACUUGCUCAUUUGGCAUUACGCCGUGCUCUGCCCCACUAGUCAGCGUGACAACCCUGUAAUUAGGGUCCAUGUCACAAGUCUUACUAGAAUGGGACAUAUCGAGCUCUUUGGUACUUUCACAGCUGGACCUUCCUGUAAUUCAGGUUAUGGUCUCUCCUCUUUGGCUAAUGCCAGUGACCACCCUGUAAUGAGGGGACAGGUUGCAUCUCGCUUUUGAAAUCUGGGGGAUUAGAAUCAUUUCCAUAACAUGGGCAGCUUGACCUCCCACUAACUAGGGUUUGCGUCAUCGUGGCCCUUUGGGUCUCCGUUAGCUGGUUAGUGGGAGAGACUGCCCUGUAAUCAGGGUGCCAGUCACCUCCCCCUAAAUGUGGAGGGGCACUGAGCUCUUUGUUAAACUGAGCAAUGUGACCGCACUGUAACUAGGGCCCGGGUCUCUGCCCACUUGCUCAUUUGGCUUUAUGCCGUGCUCUGCCCCAUUAGUCAGCGUGACAACCCUGUAAUUAGGGUCCAUGUCACAAGUCUCACUAGAAUGGGACAUAUCGAGCUCUUUGGUACUUUCACAGCUUGACCUUCCUGUAAUUCAGGUUAUGGUCUCUCCUCUUUGGCUAAUGCCAGCGACCACCCUGUACUGAGGGGACAGGUUGCAUCUCGCUUUUGAAAUCUGGGGGAUUAGAAUCAUUUCCGUAACAUGGGCAGCUUGACCUCCCUGUAACUAGGGUUUGCGUCUCUGAGGCCCUUUGACUCUCUUGGCCUCGUGCUGUCUUUACAGCCUGCUGCGAAGGACCGCCCUGUCAUCGGGGAUCGGGUCUUUGCUCUCUAGUCUCUUGGCACUAGGCCAAAUGCAGCCACUGCCCUGAAUGAGCACCCUGUAAACAGGGUACAGAUCUCAUGAGCUACUAUUUAUGGUGCCUCCAUAAAACUGUGUCCAGAGUUACGGCCCUUCAAGCAGCGCUUCCAACUUGCCUGGAAUUCUGCAGCCAAGUCUCCCGCUUUUUACUCCCUUCUUGGACUCUUGGAGACCUGACAUGCUAUUGGUGGCACCAUGAAGCACAAGUGGAGAAGAAAGAAGUGUCAGGAAUGCCAUACACAGAGAAGAAAAGAAGAUGCAGGAAAAGGAAAGGAACUCUGGGCACAGUACUCUCCCUCAGAUCAGCCUCAGGUCAUGUAAUUAGACUGUAUGGGAAUCUCGAGCCUUUUAAUACCUGGAGCAGCGUGACCGCCCUGUAAGCUGGGUCCCGGUCUGUGCCAUUGUGUAUUUGGAAAUUCUGCUCCGUGAUCUGGCUAGUGUGAGUGACUGCCCUGUAAUCAGGGUGCCAGUCACCUCCCCCUAAAUGUGGACGGGCAUUGAGCUCUUUCUUUAAUUAAGCAAUGUGACCGCCUUGUAACUAGGGUCCGAGUCUCUGCCCACUUGCUCAUUUGGCAUUACGCCGUGCUCUGCCCCACUAGUCAGCGUGACAACCCUGUAAAUAGGGUCCAUGUCACAAGGCUCUCCUGAAUGGGACAUAUCGAGCUCUUUGGUACUUUCACAGCUGGACCUUCCUGUAAUUCAGGUUAUGGUCUCUCCUCUUUGGCUAAUGCCAGUGACCACCCUGUAAUGAGGGGACAGGUUGCAUCUCGCUUUUGAAAUCUGGGGGAUUAGAAUCAUUUCCAUAACAUGGGCAGCUUGACCUCCCACUAACUAGGGUUUGCGUCAUCGUGGCCCUUUGGGUCUCCGUUAGCUGGUUAGUGGGAGAGACUGCCCUGUAAUCAGGGUGCCAGUCACCUCCCCCUAAAUGUGGAGGGGCACUGAGCUCUUUGUUAAACUGAGCAAUGUGACCACCCUGUAACUAGGGCCCGGGUCUCUGCCCACUUGCUCAUUUGGCUUUAUGCCGUGCUCUGCCCCAUUAGUCAGCGUGACAACCCUGUAAUUAGGGUCCAUGUUACAAGACUCACUGGAAUGGGACAUAUCGAGCUCUUUGGUACUUUCACAGCUUGACCUUCCUGUAAUUCAGGUUAUGGUCUCUCCUCUUUGGCUAAUGCCAGCGACCACCCUGUACUGAGGGGACAGGUUGCAUCUCGCUUUUGAAAUCUGGGGGAUUAGAAUCAUUUCCGUAAUAUGGGCAGCUUGACCUCCCUGUAACUAGGGUUUGCGUCUCUGAGGCCCUUUGACUCUCUUGGCCUCGUGCUGUCUUUACAGCCUGCUGCGAAGGACCGCCCUGUCAUCAGGGAUCGGGUCUUUGCUCCCUAGUCUCUUGGCACUAGGCCAAAUGCAGCCACUGCCCUGAAUGACCGCCCUGUAAACAGGGUACAGGUCUCAUCAGCUACUAUUUAUGGUGCCUCCAUAAAACUGUGUCCAGAGUUCCGGCCCUUCAAGCAGCGCUUCCAACUUGCCUGGAAUUCUGCAGCCAAGUCUCCCGCUUUUUACUCCCUUCUUGGACUCUUGGAGACCUGACAUGCUAUUGGUGGCACCAUGAAGCAAAAGUGGAGAAGAGAGAAGUGUCAGGAAUGCCAUACACAGAGGAGAAAAGAAGAUGGAGGAAAAGGAAAGGAACUCUGGGCACAGUGCCCUCCCUCAAAUCAGCCUCAGGUCAUGUAAUUAGACGGUAUGGGAAUCUCGAGCCUUCUAAUACCUUGAGCAGCCUGACCGCCCUGUAAGCUGGGACUCGGUCUGUGCCAUUGUGUAUUUGGACAUUCUGCUCCGUGAUCUGGCUAGUGUGAGUGACUGCCCUGUAAUCAGGGUGCCAGUCACCUCCCCCUAAAUGUGGACAGGCAUUGAGCUCUUUCUUUAAUUAAGCAAUGUGACCGCCCUGUAACUAGGGUCCGAGUCUCUGCCCACUUGCUCAUUUGGCAUUACGCCGUGCUCUGCCCCACUAGUCAGCGUGACAACCCUGUAAAUAGGGUCCAUGUCACAAGGCUCUCCUGAAUGGGACAUAUCGAGCUCUUUGGUACUUUCACAGCUGGACCUUCCUGUAAUUCAGGUUAUGGUCUCUCCUCUUUGGCUAAUGCCAGUGACCACCCUGUAAUGAGGGGACAGGUUGCAUCUCGCUUUUGAAAUCUGGGGGAUUAGAAUCAUUUCCAUAACAUGGGCAGCUUGACCUCCCACUAACUAGGGUUUGCGUCAUCGUGGCCCUUUGGGUCUCCGUUAGCUGGUUAGUGGGAGAGACUGCCCUGUAAUCAGGGUGCCAGUCACCUCCCCCUAAAUGUGGAGGGGCACUGAGCUCUUUGUUAAACUGAGCAAUGUGACCACCCUGUAACUAGGACCCGGGUCUCUGCCCACUUGCUCAUUUGGCUUUAUGCCGUGCUCUGCCCCAUUAGUCAGCGUGACAACCCUGUAAUUAGGGUCCAUGUUACAAGACUCACUAGAAUGGGACAUAUCGAGCUCUUUGGUACUUUCACAGAUUGACCUUCCUGUAAUUCAGGUUAUGGUCUCUCCUCUUUGGCUAAUGCCAGCGACCACCCUGUACUGAGGGGACAGGUUGCAUCUCGCUUUUGAAAUCUGGGGGAUUAGAAUCAUUUCCGUAACAUGGGCAGCUUGACCUCCCUGUAACUAGGGUUUGCGUCUCUGAGGCCCUUUGACUCUCUUGGCCUCGUGCUGUCUUUACAGCCUGCUGCGAAGGACCGCCCUGUCAUCAGGGAUCGGGUCUUUGCCCUCUAGUCUCUAGGCACUAGGCCAAAUGCAGCCACUGCCCUGAAUGAGCACCCUGUAAACAGGGUACAGGUCUCAUCAGCUACUAUUUAUGGUGCCUCCAUAAAACUGUGUCCAGAGUUCCGGCCCUUCAAGCAGCGCUUGCAACGUGCCUGGAAUUCUGCAGCCAAGUCUCCCGCUUUUUACUCCCUUCUUGGACUCUUGGAGACCUGACAUGCUAUUGGUGGCAUCUUGAAGCACAAGUGGAGAAGAAGCAAGUGUCAGUACUAAGGCAUAACUGUGAAUCUGAAAUUCAGAGAUCUUCAAUAUACAAGUUCUAUAGAAUGAUUGCUUCCUAUUAUUAUUAAGUCAUUAUUUCCUACUGGAUGUGCAAAGAUGUGACUGAAGGGAAGGCAUACAUUUGUAUUCUCCACUCACCCACAAUUCUGUCCCCCAAACUCCUCAAAAAAAGUUAAGGUUCACAAAAUUAACAUUUACUCCAGGUAACGCCUAACUUGUGUAUUUCUCACACAUUUCUAUAAAGGAACCAAACAAAACUAAAUGUUCUGGCAUCUGGCAGUUACUUCCUGCACUUCACAACUUUCAAACACCUACUCUACUUAAACGGUCUCACCAACCAAAGUGUACCACACAAUCAAUAUUAACUUUGCACCUAUUGUGUCAGAAGUUAGAGUGUUUUUAGUAGUUGUGUCCAUUGGUGGACAUGGCAAUAGUGGUGUUUUAAUAGUCUUUUAUGCUUAUUGAAUUCAGAGGAUGAUGAUGUGGAUGUUUUAGGUAGGUAUUUUUCUGUUAAGUCUUGGUAUUUGGGUAGAGGUGCAGUAUUUUGUGAUUAUGACUGUUUUUCUUGUAUUGGUUUAGUGUGAAUUGUUGGCAAUUUUAGAUGUUUUUGUAUACGUACAUAAGUAGAUGUAUUUAGAGGGCAAAGCUGAAGUUGCCUGUUUGGUGCAAUUUGACUGGUGUGAAAGUUAAUUUCGGGUAGGUGUUUGAAAGCCCUGAGCUUUGAAUUUGUAGCUCAACAGGGAUGCAAGACCCACCUGGCUACCUCAAUUCUUACUUUCAUUCCUAAUUCCAAAAUCUUGGAUGAAGCUGACCAUAUAAAGAAGAAUAAAGAUAUCUCCAGAGACUUUCAAGAGGGUAGCAUGUAUGCAGCUUAGGGGAUCCCUUAAACCUUAUUGAGCUUUUCAAAGCGCAAUAAUUGUGGAAAACUUCUACUUCUGCCACUUAAGUGUUGAACAAUAACCUGUAUUAAAGGAUUUACACUGGUAGUUAAUUCUGUUCUGUAUAAAGAUGAUUUAGCUAAAAUAACCACUUUAUGAUGUGUGAAAUGAAUUAACUAGGUCUGAUUAUACCUAUUUGAUAAAAGUUGGACUACUCCAUAUUAAAUGCAUGGAUUGAACUUUGAUUGUCAUAUCACAUUGCUUUGCUUUCUGUAACUUCUUA